rfam:Schistosoma mansoni, Puerto Rico, WGS project CABG01000000 data, contig: 0203
GUCCAACUGACGAUUCCCAAAUAGGACGAAACGCGUGUGCUAGAU